UACGGGGGGGGGGCUAGCGUUGCUCGGAAUCACUGGGCGUAAAGCGCACGUAGGCGGAUUGCUAAGUCAGGGGUGAAAUCCUGGAGCUCAACUCCAGAACUGCCUUUGAUACUGGCGAUCUUGAGUCCGGGAGAGGUGAGUGGAACUGCGAGUGUAGAGGUGAAAUUCGUAGAUAUUGGGAAGAACACCGAUGGCGAAGGCAGCCAUCUGGACCGACACUGACGCUGAGGCGCGAAAGCGUGGGGAGCAAACAGGG
rnacentral:rRNA from 1 species